rnacentral:rRNA from 1 species
AACGUAGGUGGCGAGCGUUAUCCGGAUUUACUGGGCGUAAAGCGCUUGUAGGUGGUUUUGUAAGUUGGGCGUGAAAACUCCAGGCUCAACCUGGAGACGCCACCUGAUACUGCUUUGGCUAGAGUCCGGUAGGGGAGCAUGGAAUUCCUGGUGUAGCGGUGAAAUGCGCAGAUAUCAGGAGGAACACCAGUGGCGAAGGCGGUGCUCUGGGCCGGAACUGACGCUGAGGAGCGAAAGCGUGGGGAGCAAACAGG